AGUGAACGCUGGCGGCGUGCUUAACACAUGCAAGUCGAACGAGAACGGAUUAUAGCUUGCUAUAAUUGGCAGCUAAGUGGCGCACGGGUGAGUAAUGUAUAGGUAAUAUGCCUCUUACUAAGGAAUAACAAAUGGAAACGUUUGCUAAUACCUUAUACUCCUUAUUAACAUAAGUUAAUAAGGGAAAGAUUUAUUGGUAAGAGAUUAGCCUGUAUUGUAUCAGUUAGUUGGUGGGGUAAUGGCUUACCAAGACUAUGACACAUAACUGGUUUGAGAGGAUGAUCAGUCACACUGGAACUGAGACACGGUCCAGACUCCUACGGGAGGCAGCAGUGGGGAAUAUUGCACAAUGGACGAAAGUCUGAUGCAGCAACGCCGCGUGGAGGAUGACACAUUUCGGUGCGUAAACUCCUUUUAUAUGAGAAGAUAAUGACGGUAUUAUAUGAAUAAGCACCGGCUAACUCCGUGCCAGCCGCCGCGGUAA
rnacentral:rRNA from 1 species